UUGUGUCUUUCAGCCUGUUUCUGCCUAUCACCACUCAGAUUGAUCAUCAAGAUCUCAAUUAUAAGCUUAAGUCUUGAUGACAACUUGAUGAUCUGCAGGAAAAACCACCAUGUAAGGAAGGCCAAGACCACUCUGGAAUCAGUCAAGGGAUUGCAGUGACCAGACAUGCUACUGUAACUCUCAUGGUCAUGUGCUGGAAUUAGCAGAUAUUCAACAAUUUGGCCAUCUCGCUGACCUAUUGAUAUCAGAAGACCGCAACAGCUCUGCAAAGCAAGUUGCAAAACAGAAUCCAUGGAACUGGCAGUGACUGGAAACCAAUUGGAAGACUGUGGUCUGUGAUGUAGAGGAGUGGGCAGACGCAGAAGCAAAGACAACAAAAAACAGAAGUGAUAUGGAUGUCUUCAUCAUAUGGCAUGACUCUGCUGACCCAGCAACAAAGAGGAGGGUGUUCAACAUCAUCCUGCUAGUCAGGAUUCUUCAGGAGAAGCAGUGGAUUCUUGUGGCAGAGAUGGCCAACCACUAUAAAUACCUUUCAACUCAUCCUGGUUUUUUCAAAGAACUUUCCUGCUAGUUUGCUACUGAAAAGUACUGAUUCGACAUGUGGCCUAACAAAGAGGGGUUAAAAGGUCUAUGGAUCAUCAUUCUCAAAAAGCAACAAAAUAACUGAGAAAUAAACAACAAUACGAUGGUGCAAUCUAGAGACCUGCAAGGUACCUGCAAGUUUUGGCUGGAGCAGAGAACAUAGAUUUUUUUUAAAUAAAGCUCCAGCUGAUGAGUAUGACAUUGACUGGAUUUUCUUUUACUGUAAUCCAGAAGAGGAUGACCUUAACCCUGAAUCUAAAGCAUGUAAUAAAAUCUGUAAAAAUAAAAUAAAAUUUUCAUCAUCU
ensembl:processed_transcript